rnacentral:rRNA from 1 species
UAGGGAAUCUUCCACAAUGGGCGAAAGCCUGAUGGAGCAACGCCGCGUGAGUGAUGAAGGCCUUCGGGUUGUAAAACUCUGUCUUCUGUGACGAACAAGCCUGUGAGUGGAAAGCUCAGGCCCUGACGGUAACAGAGGAGGAAGCCACGGCUAACUACGUGCCAGCAGCCGCGGUAAUACGUAGGUGGCGAGCGUUGUCCGGAAUCACUGGGCGUAAAGCGCGCGCAGGCGGCGAUCUACGUCUGGGGUGAAAGCCCGGAGCUCAACUCCGGGACUGCCUUGGAUACGGGAUCGCUUGAGGAUUGGAGAGGCAAGGGGGAAUUCCACGUGUAGCGGUGAAAUGCGUAGAGAUGUGGAGGAACACCUGUGGCGAAGGCGCCUUGCUGGCCGAAUUACUGACGCUGAGGCGCGAAGCGUGGGGAGCAAACAGGAUUAGAUACCCUGUAGUCCACGCCGUAACGAUGAGUGCUAGGUG